ensembl:rRNA 5S_rRNA 5S ribosomal RNA
GCUUAUGGCCACACCGCCUGGUUCACGGCUGAUCUCGUUUGAUCUCGGAAGCUAGGAUAGGUUAGGCCUGGUUAGUACUUGGAUGGGAGACCGCCUGGGAAUACCAGGUGCUGUAAGCU